rnacentral:rRNA from 1 species
AUGUGCGCCAUUAUCAAGCCUGAUUCAAAGAAGGCGAUGUACACAAGCAAGCAAACUGCAGACAAGAAGGAAAAUAAGUUUCUCUCCGUGGUUCACUUGCUGUUGUUCUCUGUCCACGAGACAGAGCUUCAGUCUCUCAUAACUCGUAAUAGGUCGAUGUACUAUCACCUGCAUCCGUCAUCUACUCGUGGAGCUCUGGAGAUACUUCAGAUACGACACAGUGGCCUACGUGUCCAAAUGAGGGAGACCCGGCGUCCAAGUCACGGACAAUAUGUCGAGCCGUGGCACCAUCCAGCUACAAGAGUCGGCCGCCCAGGACGGCAAUGUCGGCAAGAUACUCCACGUAAUUCUGACCUCCCCAUCCUCUUGUUUGAUCCUUCUUGCUAUGCUUUUUUAGCUGCUGAUGGUUGGCGUACCAUGUUGUGCGUAGAGGACAGAGGACAGGGGGAAAGAGUACGACAAUAUUGUGAGAUCAAGAGUUAUGAUUUGUGA